GUAAUCCUCACGGAUUACAUUUGGUCAAUUUGAAACGAUACAGAGAAGAUUAGCAUGGCCCCUGCACUAAGGAUGACACGCUUCUCAAAGAGUACUUCAAGUUUUUU
rnacentral:snRNA from 1 species